GGCCUAACACAUGCAAGUCGAGGGGUAACAGAAGUAGCAAUACUUGCUGACGACCGGCGCACGGGUGAGUAACGCGUAUGCAACCUACCUUUGACUGGAGAAUAGCCCGAAGAAAUUCGGAUUAAUGCUCCAUGAGACCACAAUACCGCAUGAUAUAGUGGUAAAAGCUCCGGCGGUCAAAGAUGGGCAUGCGUGCCAUUAGUUAGUUGGUGAGGUUACGGCUCACCAAGACAACGAUGGCUAGGGGGUCUGAGAGGAUGAUCCCCCACACUGGUACUGAGACACGGACCAGACUCCUACGGGAGGCAGCAGUGAGGAAUAUUGGUCAAUGGACGCAAGUCUGAACCAGCCAUGCCGCGUGCAGGAUGAAUGCCCUAUGGGUUGUAAACUGCUUUUCUACAAGAAGAAACUUCCUGAUGUAUCAGGAACUGACGGUAUCGUAGGAAUAAGCAUCGGCUAACUCCGUGCCAGCAGCCGCGGUAAUACGGAGGAUGCAAGCGUUAUCCGGAUUCAUUGGGUUUAAAGGGUGCGUAGGCGGGGUAGUAAGUCAGUGGUGAAAGCCUGCGGCUUAACCGUAGAAUUGCCAUUGAUACUGCUAUUCUUGAGUGCAGUUGAGGUAGGCGGAAUGUGUAAUGUAGCGGUGACAUGCUUAGAUAUUACACAGAAGCACCGAUUGCGUAGGCAGCUUACUAAACUGUCACUGACGCUGAGGCACGAAAGCGUGGGGAG
rnacentral:rRNA from 1 species